rnacentral:rRNA from 1 species
GAUGAACGCUGGCGGCGUGCCUAAUACAUGCAAGUCGAGCGAACGGACGAGAAGCUUGCUUCUCUGAUGUUAGCGGCGGACGGGUGAGUAACACGUGGAUAACCUACCUAUAAGACUGGGAUAACUUCGGGAAACCGGAGCUAAUACCGCAUAAUAUUUUGAACCGCAUGGUUCAAAAGUGAAAGACGGUCUUGCUGUCACUUAUAGAUGUAUCCGCGCUGCAUUAGCUAGUUGGUAAGGUAACGGCUUACCAAGGCAACGAUGCAUAGCCGACCUGAGAGGGUGAUCGGCCACACUGGAACUGAGACACGGUCCAGACUCCUACGGGAGGCAGCAGUAGGGAAUCUUCCGCAAUGGGCGAAAGCCUGACGGAGCAACGCCGCGUGAGUGAUGAAGGUCUUCGGAUCGUAAAACUCUGUUAUUAGGGAAGAACAUAUGUGUAAGUAACUGUGCACAUCUUGACGGUACCUAAUCAGAAAGCCACGGCUAACUACGUG